UCUGAAAUAGCUCAGUAGGUAGAGCAUCAGACUAUAAAUCAAAUGGUCCUUUGUUCCAUCCCCUGUUCUGGCA
rnacentral:tRNA from 1 species